rnacentral:rRNA from 1 species
CUACGGGCGGCUGCAGUGGGGAAUAUUGCACAAUGGGCGCAAGCCUGAUGCAGCCAUGCCGCGUGUAUGAAGAAGGCCUUCGGGUUGUAAAGUACUUUCAGCGGGGAGGAAGGGAGUAAAGUUAAUACCUUUGCUCAUUGACGUUACCCGCAGAAGAAGCACCGGCUAACUCCGUGCCAGCAGCCGCGGUAAUACGGAGGGUGCAAGCGUUAAUCGGAAUUACUGGGCGUAAAGCGCACGCGGGCGGUUGGUUAAGUCAGAUGUGAAAUCCCCGGGCUCAACCUGGGAACUGCAUCUGAUACUGGCAAGCUUGAGUCUCGUAGAGGGGGGUAGAAUUCCAGGUGUAGCGGUGAAAUGCGUAGAGAUCUGGAGGAAUACCGGUGGCGAAGGCGGCCCCCUGGACGAAGACUGACGCUCAGGUGCGAAAGCGUGGGGAGCAAACAGGAUUAGAUACCCUCGUAGUC